rnacentral:rRNA from 1 species
UACGUAGGGGGGCUAGCGUUGUCCGGAAUCAUUGGGCGUAAAGCGCGUGUAGGCGGCCCGGUAAGUCCGCUGUGAAAGUCGGGGGGCUCAACCCUCGGAUGCCGGUGGAUACUGUCGGGCUCGAAUCCGGAAGAGGUGAGUGGAAUUCCUGGUGUAGCGGUGAAAUGCGCAGAUAUCAGGAGGAACACCGGUGGCGAAGGCGGGUCUCUGGGCCGAUACUGACGCUGAGGAGCGAAAGCGUGGGGAGCAAACAGG